AUUCUACAUUUUAGGAGAGAGAGAGUCUGGCUGGCAAAGUUUUGCCUCAGCCAAGUGCCUGCCCCUUUGAUGUAUCCACGCAGUGAGGGUCGGAAUCUGGCCACUGGAGCCUGGAGGAGACGCCUGAGCUUCCACAGCAAAAGAGCAGUACUUUGAAGAAGUGACGGCCAACAUGUUUCCUCAAAAGAAAUCUGGGUAAAGGCAUGGUAAGUUCCAAACUCAUCGUAUUUCAAAUAGUUUACGUCUACCUCUUGCAAUUACAGAAAAUAACCAAAUUCAGGCAACGGAGACAAAAGUUACUGAGAUUUUAUAAUGUCUCUGGAUUGCACUAAGUUGUCCUAUUUACCAAAGUGGUUUCAUCGCAUCAUUCCUCUUGAAGAUAAUCAAAUAUGAUAUUCUGUAUUAAUUUAUGCCAUGGAGCUUAAGUGGUCAUUGGCCAACUAGAGAUACACUUUUUUUUUUUUUUUUUUUUGGCUAAAAUCUCUCUAGAAUUCACUCCUUACCUAGAAGUAAAAAAAGAGGACACACUUUUGAACUGCUCACAUGACCACACCAUUCUGCGGGGACGUCCUUGUGUUGAGGGGAGGUCUGAAGUCCAUGGAAGAAGACGCAGUGGCUGCUGGAGCUCGUGCAGAGGAAGGGACCCUCAGAAGGACGGAUGAACUGUCAGUGGCAGGAAAAAUGCUGGUCUCCUCAGAGCCUGGGCAUUUUGUUGGUUUUAAGAGUGAGAGGUGCG
rnacentral:lncRNA from 1 species